rnacentral:rRNA from 1 species
CAGUCGCCACGGGAAUACGUAGGGUGCAAGCGUUAAUCGGAAUUACUGGGCGUAAAGCGUGCGCAGGCGGUUAUAUAAGACAGAUGUGAAAUCCCCGGGCUCAACCAGGGAACUGCAUUUGUGACUGUAUAGCUAGAGUACGGCAGAGGGGGAUGGAAUUCCGCGUGUAGCAGUGAAAUGCGUAGAUAUGCGGAGGAACACCGAUGGCGAAGGCAAUCCCCUGGGCCUGUACUGACGCUCAUGCACGAAAGCGUGGGGAGCAAACAGGAUUAGAUACCCGAGUAGUCCCUGUCUCUUAUAC